rnacentral:rRNA from 1 species
CCUACGGGUGGCAGCAGUGAGGAAUAUUGGUCAAUGGGCGCAAGCCUGAACCAGCCAAGUCGCGUGAGGGAAGACGGCCCUACGGGUUGUAAACCGCUUUUGCCGGGGAGCAAGCCUGAGCACGUGUGCCCAGGCGGAGAGAACCCGGAGACAAAGCAUGGCCUAACUCCGUGCCAGCAGCCGCGGUAAUACGGAGGCAGCGAGCGUUAUCCGGAUUUAUUGGGUUGAAAGGGUGCGCAGGCGGGCUGUUAAGCCGGCGGUAAAAAUUCAGGGCUCAACCCUGCCGAGCCGUCGGAACUGGCAGUCUUGAGUGGGCGAGAGGUAGGCGGAAUGCGUGGUGUAGCGGUGAAAUGCAUAGAUAUCACGAAGAACGCCGAUUGCGAAGGCAGCAUACCGGCGCGCAACUGACGCUGAGGCACGAAAGCGUGGGGAUCGAACAGGAUUAGAUACCCGAGUAGUC